AUUCCUUAUUAUAUAUCAGGAGUGGGUGCAGUGAGCUUCGAGUGAACAUCUUCGUUUGCCAGUGGCUAAUCAGUUUAUUGCCACUGACUUGUCCCUCAAGAAGACUGACAAGGUCAUGUAUCCAGUGAUUGAACUUUCACACUUCUUGAGAUGUUGCCGUUUAUCUUACAUUGGCUUGAUAACAGGGUCUGCUAUUGACAUGAUGACCAGCACCAUAACUGUUGGUAGUCAAACCAACUGUUGCUCAUAAUGCUGAGGAGGAUUUAAUGCUUUAAAGAAUGAAAUUCGGGUUCGUCAAACCAGAAGGUGGCAAGCAAUUGGCAUCCUAAGGCAUGUUUUGUUCAGCUACUGUACCUUGGAGAUUAAAGAAACAUGCCAUUGACUUCUUGCUUUGCACCACAGAAGGAGAUAUCUCACAGGAGAGUGAGAGUGAAACUCUAGAUUUCUCAUCGUUUGUUCCUAGCCAUUUUGCUGCCUUGCAGAUGCUGUGCUAAGGAAGAAAGCUUUUGAUGUACUGGAAAGGUCUCCAGAUGCUUGCUGAUAUUGCAAUUUCUCAAAGGUUUGAUGUCUUAAAAGCCCUGAUUACAAAUUGCAUCUCUUCCUUUAUGGUAACUGCAUGGGGAAG